GUAAUGGUGGAUGAACCGAUAAGCAAAUAGGGGGAAAAAAAGGCUCUGCUUAAAAGAAAAAAAAAAAAAAAGGCAUGCUUUUAAUAUGCUUCCAGAUGGGGGGAAAAUGAUUUACAUGGGAGUUUAUUUCCUCUUUGCUGAUAUGAAAGAAUUACAGAUACAAAACCCACUGAUCUAUAGAAUAAAAAAAAAAAAGAAAAGAAAUGUUAUUUUCCUGUAAAGGUAUCAGUUCAUUUAUAUUCAUUUAACCAUCCAUCCAUCAAUUCACUUUCUCACUCCCUGCACAUUCUCUCUGCCUCUGGUAAACCUACCCCACCAAUAUACUUUUCUGGAAUAUACAAUGAAGUUUCCUUAAAAAAAAAAGAAAUUAUAUGAGAUUCAGCUGAAGUAGGUAAAGUGAAGUUUCCCUUCUCCUCCUCUCCCCAGCUCCUCUUUUAUGUUCCAGACUUUGAGUAAUUAGCAAUGUGAAAAAAGAAAAUGGUUUAGGUGGGAAAAAAAAUGUCUAUCUAUAUCUAUAAAUAAUAUAUGCAGUAUAGGUGUUAGAGAUGUGUCUAUAUGUAUAUAUACAAUAUAUAGAGAGCAGGUUUUGUGUGCUCAACAUGUAUGUGCUGCAUCCCUGUGCUUGUGUGAUACCAACAGUUCAUUCUCUGCCUCUGAAAUAAAACACACAGAUACUGUACAGCUAUUUACAGCAUUCAUAUAUCCAUGGCCCCAGAUUUAACCACCCACCCAGCUUGCGUAUGCUGCAGAUAUGCACGAUAUAUGUGAUACCCGAGCACUGAAUUGGAGCAGAACAUCUGGGUUUAAAUAGAAAAUAUUUCCCUAAAUUGCCAGCACGUGUCCUUUGGGAGGGCUGGGGUGCCUGUGGUGCCCAUAUUUUGGUGCUCCCUGGCACAAAGCACAGGGCACAGCUCAGCCCGGCGGCCUCUGACCUCCCAAACCCGAAGGCCACCAAAGCUGGAUUUGUUUGCAUUUUGAAUGGUACCUGGAGCUGAGAUCCAAAUUCCCUUGCAGGAGAGCGGCCAGAGAGCAAACCUAAACCUCUCCCCUGACACCUCCAAGUGCCAAACCAGCCCCACCUGGCUGAGCUCUUCCCGUGGCUCUGCCUGGCGUGAGGUGGGGACAGGCGUGACCUCCUUCUCCCUGUGCUACAGCCCUUCCUCACAGGAAUGGCUCCAGGGAGGAAGAGCUGUCCCUUCCUCACAGGAAUGGCUCCAGGAGAAAGAGCCUUGUGCCCAAAGACAGAGGCUGCCAAACCAUCCGUCAUUUCCUGGACACCUUCGCCAAUGCCGGGAGUGGAGGGAUGCGGAAAAACUUAUUUUUCUGCUUUAAAUGCAGCGGCAAGAGCUAUGUAAGAAGUUGCUUUUUUUUCUUGUUAAAAGCAGGUAAAUAGAGAGACAGACAGAUUUGGAAAUGCCUCGCUAUAUACAGAUAAAAAUAUACGUCUUUAUCUCCAGCCAGAUACGGAUAUAGAUCCACACAGAAUUUUCCUGGCGGUGGCUCUUAAAGAGCUCCAAGCUGGUCCUUGUGGGGUCUUCACCAGCCUUUCCCAAAACUCCCUGUGUAAAUACAGGCACCAGGCAAUGCCCCCCAGGUCAAGGAGGCUGGUGGGUGCCUGCCCGGCACAGAGCCCACGCUGCACAUCAAAGGCUGGAGUUCCCCGCUCCGUGUUGGAAGUGACACCUGCAGAUGUUCCCCUGCCUCGUGUUUGCAACCCAGACCUGAACAAAUACAUAAUCACAUCACAUAGCAUAAUUAAUAGUGCUAUCACCAUGAAGGACUCUUAAAGGGAAGGCUGUUGAAAGAGAGUUCCUGAAGAUAAUCCUUUUAAAAGGUUUCCUUAAAAUGCAACCACUAGUGGGAAUAAGGCAGGUUUAGUUCCAACAUCUUAAUACCUCUGCAGAGCAGAGUUUUAGAUCUUGUAAAUGUCUUUCCUUUAAUAGCGGCUUGACUUUUGAUUUGGGACUUGCACUUUUUGGAGGAUCUCGCUGCUGUUGUGGUUCUCAAGAGAGAAGGUCCUUGAGGAGGCCCAGCCUGGCUCAGUUGAUCUGUCAGGGACUGAUAACCUCCUUCCUGCUGGAAUUCCAACGUGGUCCCAUCCAGUUUGGGCUGGUGUCCUGCGCUUGUGCCUAAUGAUCCAUUUGAACAAUUUUCAGGUGCUGCUUAAUUUGUUUUUUUCUCCUUCUGGAUGACACCCCAGCUCCUGGGCAUGGGGUUCAGCUGCUCCCCAGCUCUUUCCUUAGCUCUGUCUCCUGACUCCUCCACUGUGCUCAGAGUAUUCCUGCGUGGUGUUGGUGAGUAAAUCACUUUAUUUUGGCUUUCCCAAAUGAUGUCUGUGUGAAAUGAACAGAGCUACACAGUGAUCUGCAUGUCCAGGGGAUAAAUGUGCACCUGAGUGAGCUCUGCUCCCUCAACCCUUCUUCCUCAGCCUCCCAUCCCAGGAACUCUUCCCAUGGUUAUUUGGCAUCCUCUCAUUUCUCAGGUUUUGCAUGGAGAGGGCAAAGCUUGAGGAACUGGGACCACCUGGUGGAGCAGACCCCUGGUAGGAGACCCUGGGAGCAGCCAGGUCCUGCCUUUUGCUGUCACUGCUUUGCUGGAGCUCCGAGCCAGGAUCCAGCCUCCUGGUUUUCAGCAGGAAAAGUUUAGAUUUGUGAAAAUACUGUCAAAUUGGCAUGGAAAUAAUUGAGGGCCUCUGGAGUAAAGGGAUGAUGGGCACCUCCUCCAAAGAGCAAUAACUAAAAAUCCAAAAUAAAAAUGAAAUUCAGUUAAAUCAGAUACUUUUACUUUGUCUUACAGCUGUGGACAGUCCUUUAGACUACCCCAGUGUGAAUUUCUGGGUCGGUGGCAGGUUUGGUGUCCAAUCUCUCUAACCCCACAAGGGUUUUGGAAAACCAGGGAUCUCCAUUCCCAGGGAAAUGAGGACUCAGCUGUUGUAUUGUGGUGCUGUGUGUAGGGAAUGGCAUUUUGCAGGCAACAGGAGAUCUUUGCUGUGCCCUGGCUGUUGUCCCCUCUCUCGGAGGGUGGCACUGCUGCUGUUUGCCCAGCCUGGUCAGAGGUGGUGCCACCAGAGCUCAGCCCCUCCCUGCGAGUGACAAUGGUGAAACAUUUUGGGAGUCCCUGGAGAGCAGGGUCGGCUCGCUGGUGGCUCAAAUAUUUUUGGUUCUUUUGGCUUUGAAAUAAAUGUGUGAGACAGAAAAUGUGCUGCUGCCACUUGUCACCCGCCAGCACUGGGGAUGGCACCAGUGGCACCGCUUGGCCAGCAGGGAUGGGGAGGCUGAGGGGCUGCUAUAUCUGAGGUCACUGGGGUGGCACAGAAGGCCAUGCCCAUCCAUGGUGUUGGCAAGGAGCUCAGGGCUCAUAUCCCCCAUCAGGGAUGCGCUCCGUGGUGGUGGCCCCAGGGCCCACUGUCCCCCUCCCUGACAAAGCUUUGCAAACCAACACUCUGGUUUAAACCCUGCUCCUUGCUUGCCCAAGUUGUAUUUUUCCUGGUUUAUCUUUUGGCUGCAGCAUCCAGGUAUUUUUCCUUAGCAAGGUAAGAGCCCUUUGAUUUAGAGUGUUUAAUUGCUUCUAAUUUCUCCAAAUUUCCGUGUAGGCAUUUUAAUGUUUGCCUCCUUCCUUCCCUGUGAGCUAUUAGCGUGAGUCGGUUUCUUUCCUGACAUAGACAAGGGUUUUUCCCCUCUCCUCCUACUCCUUCCAGCCCUACUUACACGGGAAUUCCCCCAGCAGGCACUGAAAGAAGAAAGGGAAUUAGAUCUUUAUCAGAGCCUUACUUUCACCCAAGAUUUCCUUAGAUCAGGGAGUUAAAUAGAGGCCAACAAAUGCUUUCUCUCCUACCUAGAAAUCACCCUCCUGCAGCCAAAAGCAUUCCCUCUCCUCCUUUGGAGGCAAACCAGAAGCUGGUGUGACUGUGUGUCCUUCUUUCAGGCAUACCAUUGUCAGUCCCCUGUCAUGGCUGGAUUUCAUGGGUUCUCUCUUUGCCCAACAAGUGCCAGGCAAAACAAGAACUACAUUCUAGUAGAAAACAAAAAAAACUGUAGAAAAAUAGAGAAAAAGAAAAUUAAAUCCCAGCGCUGCUUCGAAUCCCUGCCAACUUUCCAGGCCUUCGCAACUCAGCCAAAAACAAGGCCACAAACCCAUUUUUCCUCAUUUGCAGGUCACCUUGAAGGGUAGAUGAGAAGCUUUUUCAAUAGCGUUUCUUUCAAGGGGAUUUCAGUUAGAAAAGCAGCAAUGAUUGAAAUUCCCUGUUUCCUUGCAGACCCUCAGGUUUUCCUGGAGGAUAUAAAAACACCCUGGCAACUCCCAAUUGUGGAUUCUCGCUCUGCUGCGGUGACAUUGCCUGACUCGAGGGACUACAGAGGUUUGGCACAAACAUGCUUUAACAUAAUUUUUUAAUCACCUCUUGGCCUCCCAGCCCACACAUUCCUCUUCAAAUAGCAGCAGAACUGGAGGAGAUGCCUACAGAAAAAUGGGACAACAUCCGCUUCCCACUCAAACGCAGUUCCUCCGUGGGCUCUCCGUGAUGUCCUGGUGAAAAGCACCUUCCCAGCUCAGCAGACAAGCAUCAAAAACCUUGGAAAGGAGGCGAAAAUUAGAAUAACGAGGAGAAUGCCCUGAUGCCUUCUCUCCUAGGGACAGGACUAUGGCUACAUGCUUAGUGGCAUCACUGGCCUGUGCUGAUUGUCCUCCUUCAGUGUGGAGCUGGAUGGGGACAGGGCCCCACAGGUCCCUUCCCUUGCUGAGGCUUUGGGAACAGAAAGUGAAAUUGUCCAGUUGAUUUAGUUUAGUCCAAGUGCUUUUCCCAGCCUCAACUGAUAAGUGAGGAGCAAAUCUUCCUCUCCAUGUGCACCCAUGCAUAUGGAUAGACACAGACACACACACAUACGUGUGUAUAUAAAUAAAUCUCUUUAAAUUUAAAUAGAUUUAUGCCCAAGGACAGGAGGGUGGGUAUGAGGUCAUUACAGAGAAAGAAGGUGUAACACAUCCAUAUGUUCUGUUGUGGGGAUUAAAUCUAUAGCAGGUUGUAUGCAGUGCUAAUACUCCUAUUAAUUUCUAUUUUUCAUUGUUGUUUGCACAUUUGUCAGGCUCCGAUGAAGGGAUAAUGAAGCGAGUGGAUGUUAACUGCAAAUUAAUCAGCCCUGUCUUGGAGUGUAACACAGGUUCCUGUUUGCUUCUCCUCUUCACCCAGGGACAAUAACACACUUUCUGCAUCCCCACCAGGAAAAUCUCUUGGAUGCUGUGACAGAGCAGAGAAAGGAAGAAAGAAAAAAGAAGAAUGAGAGACGCUCUGGCUGAGAAAACUUCUAAUUCUUCUUGAAAUUGUCAAGUUUCUUUGAGCCGUAAGAAAGCUGAGGAAGCUGAGAUCGUGCUAAUUUUGCAAGAGGAGCUUGUUGGAAAUGCUGUGCUGGCCAUGGGCAGGUUGGACUUAUUGUUUUCUUUAACUCCUGAAGUGUCAGAUCCUUUUGAGAGUUUAUUUUUUUAACUGGGAUGUGUUUCUGCCCGUGGCAGGGGAUUGGAAUGAGAUGACCUUUAUGGUCCCUUCCAACCCAAGCCAUUCUGUGAGUCCCUGACUCUGAUUAACUGCUGCUGUGCAUGAAGGAUGGAUGUAUUCACAAAUAUUGGGGCUUUUUUAUUGCAAAUUGUCUUGCUUUAGUUUGGAGCUUGGUGUCUGUGAGCCUGGUCUGCUUGUGGUGUCUGGUGUGAGGCAUGAAGUUCCCUGGUGCUGGAAUCCCAAUUCUCCAGGUCUUUUGGGAAAGAUGGGAGUGGAAACUGAGGCAGAGCCAGUCCCCAGCCCCAGGAAUGCAUCCCUUCAUGGAUAUACACUCAGGGUACCCUGUCAGCAGCCCUUGGUGCUUUGAGCUUUUUGCAGUUUGGACUUGGAGCCAGGCAAAGGUGGGAAUUUCUGCCUGGGUGUUGCGUUUGUGAUGAAUUUAAUUCGGUUCUGUGCAGAGAGUGGAGUUUAACUGCCUGGCCUCAUUUUGUGCUCAAGGAAGGAAGCAAGUGCAGAUUUUGGAUUGAUCAUUAAUUGCUCACCCUCGUGAUGAUUACUUGGUGCUGGUUCUGGCACAAACCUAGAUUUCCUUCUGGAAAACUUCCUUCCCCUUCCCCACAUCUCAGGAUGCAGCUCCUUGCAGCCGAGUCCAUCCCUGCUGUGGCAGCCUGGGAGCCUCCUGUUCCCUGCAGCAGCACCAGCACCAAGACCUGAUCCUCAUUUCUUGGAUAUUAAUGUCCCACCCUGCCCAGCUCCCAGGGUGCUGGGAUGGCAUCCAUAGAUCAUUUACCUUUCCAGGGAAGGAAAUACUUGGUCAGACCGAAAUCACCAUCGAUAAAUUCAUGUAGCUGUAGCAGCUCUCCUCCUGUUCAGGGCACACACUAGCCCCAGUAAGUGGGUGUGUGCCUCAUAAAUACAGAAAACUUUCUGUGCUCCUAAAGAUGGGCAUUUCAUCGAUAAAUUCAUACUGCCCAGGGCAAGUGGCACUCCAGGCCCAUCUCCAGAAUAAUUAGGGAAUGCUGCAAGAUUGAAAUGUGUUGCUGUUUAUUGGAGAAGAGGCAUUGUAGAUGAUUUGGGCAUUCCUAAAAGGGAUUUCUCACAGCCUUUGUCCCUUCCUUUUAUCACCUUCCUUGUUCCAGUCCUUGGCACAAUCCUCUUUCUUUUAUUCAUCAAACACUUGAUCAAUUGAUCAAUUAAUCACCUGGUUGACCCAGAUUUUUUACGUAUCUGCCCCAACUUUUUUUUUUUGUCUUUCCAACCUAGAUUUGUCACCAGUCUUUCCCUUUUGAAAUGCAAGGUUUUGAUAACAAGGUGUUCCCCCACUAUACCCCAUCAUUGUCUUUCCACAUAUCUCCCAGGAUAUUGUCUUUCCUGUGAUCUCUGUGCUUUAUUUGGAGGCACUGUGUGACAGCUUUCUGCAAAGCUUUCCUGGAAAAGCAGCCAAACCUCACAGUUUACCCUGUGUUUGGGUCAGAAAAUCUGUUUAGGCUCCAUCCUCUGCACUUGGCUCAUCGAGAUUAAAUCCAGAAUUUUCUCAUUGUCUCUUCCCCUCUUUUUCUUCCCUUCUUCCCUAUGUCUUUCUCCUCCCGAUGAGUGCAGAGAACACAUUUUCUCACAAAUGCUUAACUCUGCGGAUUUCAAAAGGGAUGGAUUUUGUUCCUCAUCCACCAUCUCCACUCUGGGCUCUCCAAGCUGAAACAUCUCCAUUCAUUUUGCGGGCCACGGGAAAAACAAAGUGGUGGAGAGGGAUUCCCAAGAGGACUGACUCCAGGUAUCCCCACUCCAUGAAAUAUUGUCUCUGCAGCCGGGGAAAGCAAUCUCCUGAGGAUGAACCUUGAAGCACAGGAACAGCUGUGUGAGCAGUGUCAUUAUUCCCAUUUCAUGGAUGGAAGGCUUGUGCUGCACAGAGAUUCCUGGGAAGUGUUCUGCAUUGUGACUUCUCCCUGCAACGCCAGUUUGGUGAGGAAUGUGUGUUUCCUGAUGGUUUUACCUUUUACUUCUCCUUGUUUUCUAGGUCUGGCUCCCUCAGGGUGGGUGUUUCAGAGAUGUGACCCUUUUCCCCCUAGAGCAGAAGCAGGAAGAAGCAGUAGGAAGCUCCCCCUUUUUCAAGUCAGUGUAUUUGGCCACAGUGAUGGACCCUGAGGUUGUCCACAUCCUUCCAGGAGUAUUUCCAGGUGUCAAAAUCCUGGCUCACUCUUUAGGAGGUGCCAGCUCAUAUUUAAUAUCCCCACAGAACUCUGAGUGGCCACGUGGACCUGGAGCUCAGGAGAUCUUCCCCAGCCCACCAGACCUUCCUUGACUUCAUUUAUUCUUUGCUCACAGUUGCUUAUGACUGAAAACAUCACAUAAGGAAAAUGUCAUCAUUUUGACGUGGGGAAAACCACCCAGAUUUUAAUGGAAAAUUUUCAAAUUUCUAUCAGUUUUAAAGAAGCAGCACUGCACAUUUUUUAUGGAGGUGUGUUGGGGCUGCCAGCUGCAUUCCCCUAGGGAGGCUGCAGGGUUAAGGGGGAAGAAGCAACACAAGCCCCAUCUUCUGGAUCAAUUAAAAGCUGAAACUAAAAACUAACCCAGCAAGAGGCGUGAGGGCACAGUGGUGCAAAAGGCAACCUUGCAUUCCAAAGGUUGUUUUCCAGCCUAUUCCUCCAAACCCCAACCCACUGGAUGGUGUCCUACCAGUCCUUGUGUUCCUCUUUCUUCCCAGUAGGCUUACUCAUAUGCCCGAAGUGGCAGCAGCAGAAAUUUUAGAUUCCCUAUCCCACUUUUUCCUGGCUAUGGAGUUGAUCCCUGACACAUGUUAGGCUACAACAGCCCUGUAUUUGCUGCAAUACUGGGAAAGAGCAGCAGGAAUCACAGCACUCCUGCUGAGGAUGUUACAGAUCCUGAUCAGGGUUGCCAAAAAAUUCCUGCCAGCGCAAAUACUGAGUUUUACCCAGGCAUCAUCACUGACUGCCUCCAUACCAACCCUGUGGACACAUUUAUGGCUGGUGUUAGGAUGGUAUUUUUAAUCUCUUCCAUGUUUUCCCAGGUCCUUGAGGCACCAGGAGAUGACAGAGCUGCAGAGUCCCUUGAAAGAGCCAUGGAAGCAUGAUGCAAACAGCCUCCUCUUCCUGCCUUUGGGAGUGCUCAGGCCUCAGGUGGAUUUGUGUCCUCAGGGAGGUUCUGGCUCAGGGGAAGCAUUGGAGGUACUUGGUUGGUUGUCUUGUACAGCUGUAUUGCUGCACACUGACCUGUUGCUCCGUGCAAGCUGCUUCACACCAGCAACAGAGCAGUAUGACAUGGAAUUGCUAAUUUUUUUUGUCCAUAAGACAUGGAAUUGCUAUUUUUUGUCCCAUCUCACACCUUUGCAGACUCCCAGAGCUCCCAUUUGGACUCCAGAGUCCCACCAAGACCAUGACAGAAAUAUUUAGGUGCUUUUCUAAAGCUGGGUUUAAUAGUGUAAAUGCUCUUUAAUGCACAGCAUUACAGACUGUCCCUUUCUCUCCCUUAUGGAAUGGCCUUCUGGAGGGAUGGAAUUCCAGCUCCCACCUCACCACACCACUAUUGACAGGCAUGGUUGGUACAUUAUUUAGGUAAUUUGGCACUUGCCAUAUGGGAACCACCUGGACACCUGGCUGAACAAGUGCUUUAUUAAGCUAUACUAUAUAACAUACUAUACAAAACUAUACUAAAGAAAAACCCCUGACCCUUACCAGACAGUCACAACACAGCUUUGACCUAAUUGGUCCAUCAAUCCAAGCAACCAUCACCAGAGUCCAAUUAACAAAUCCCUUCUUUGGUAAACACUCCCCAGAACACAUUCCACAUGUGCCAAACAACAGGAGCAGCAAGUAGAGAUAAGAAUUGUUUUCUCUUCUCUCUCUGAGCUUUCUCACUGCCUUCCCCAGGAAAAAUCCUGGGACAGUUAUGUUUCCUUCUGUUCAGAGAAUGUGAAUCACAGUGUGGUUCCUACAGCCUUUGGCUGUCCCAGCACACAACUCCAGCGGGAAGGAAGCUCAGCUGAAGGUGCUCUGUGACAGCCUCCGAGGGGAUGUGGUCUGAGGCUCCUCCUGCUCUCAGAGGGCACUGGCAGCACUUGUGGAAAAGGAAAAGCCUGCAGAGCCUGUGUGAGGUGAGGGAUUCAUUCCCACUGCUCCAGGAAGCUCAUCUAGGGAAGAUUUCCUGCAGUAUUGUAGGAGCCAUAAUGGGUCUUACAAUAAGGCCAAUGACUGUGCCUCUGUAGGAAGCCCAGGUGAGGAAGGCCGAGCUCCAUGAGCACUCAUCUUCCUCAGUGCUGCUGUCUGCACCAAUUGCACUGCCUGCUGUGCUGAGGAGGCUCCUGGAGAGGCUCAAUUAGGAGGCAGCAGCUGACGAGCUGCAGUGUGGGGACCUCAGGGAACCUUUCCCAGAUUGGUGACAAGAGCCAGCCCUUGUGCCACUCUUGUCGCCUGCUGGUGUCAGAGUGCUCUGUGGAGUGCUGCUGCCCUUGCACAGAUGAGCAAAGAGGGCUGUCUGCAGGGCCAGAGGUGGAGACGGGUUUGUGUGUCCUGGAGCAGGAUCCCUGCCCUCUGCCUUUCCACAGGAGAGAGGGACAAUUCCUGGCUGGAAAACAGCACAGCACCCCCAGCCCCUGAGGCCCAAAAGGCAGAGGUGAGUAAGAUAUGGGAAUAACCUCCUGGAGGGAUUUCAACACCCCUGCUGUCCCUGGGGACACUGACAGCACCUCCAUCAAUUCUCCUGGGAGCUGUCCACCCCUUUGCCUUCACUCCAUCAGUUCUCUGGGAAAUUCCCCAUCUCCCACCUGUUUUCUGCUUCUCUUUGCAGUGAGGGGCUGCAGCUCCUUCCAGCACAGGACCUCCACCUGGGCAUGGCUGCUCUGCUUCCCUGCUGGGAUUCAGCAGCACUUUUCCAGCUCCAUGGAUCAUUUAUCCCAGAUCUCCACCCUUCCAGAAGUACUGGAAGCUCUGCUGCUGUCUCCCAGGGGGUUCUCUUGGGGUCCUGGCUCUCUCAAAAACCAGAAGAGGUGGCCCAUGGCAGAUGGACUCCACCUGUCCUGCCAAGGCCAGCAGCUUCUGGGUGUUGGUAGCCUGAGGAUGCCUUGUCCAAGUGGAAAGUGUCUUCUGCAUUCAGGAGCUGCAAGAUAUAAACUCCAAAGCAGGAAUUGUGGUUCAGUGUAAAUCAACCCUGCUGCUGUUCUGUAUCUGUCUGUUCUCCUGUCACACAAUGUCUGUGCUUUUCUGCUUCCAGUGUGGUGCUGCAGAGGUUCCAGUUGAAGCUCAGAGCACAUGAAUUCCAAAAGCUGUCCCAGGGAAAGCUCCUGUGAACUCCUGGAGAGGGGGUCAGAGAGGACACAGCAGAUUCUGGAUGUCACAAGAGCAGCAGAGAAGCAGAACAUCCCCUCAGGGUGUCUGUGGCUGUGCCCCUCUGAAGUGACAGUGCUGGUGCUGUGCCUGCCACCAAACUUCACCAGCCUGGGCAUCCAGGCACCAAAAAUUUCUGCAGCACCAAAGUCACCCAAAGCCCUGCAGGGGUUUUGAGAGAGGCUGCUGAUAGGGAGAUUUCUGCCUGAUGGGAGACAGAACAGUGAUUUCAUGGCUUUUUUGGGGCUCUGUGGUGUCUUGUAAUGAGAAGAUGCUCACAAUUCUUGCCUGUUCUCUCAGCUUGCAGCAUGGGGGGAUGGAGGCUGGGGGAAAACUGAUGGGAAAAUGUUUGCAAGCCUAACUACAGAGUGAGGCCUCUCUGAUGGAGGAUUUAAUCUGCAGGACAUGGUUAUCUCUGCUAGGUCUUCUGUAUCUUAGCUACUCAAUAAA